rfam:Gossypium hirsutum cultivar TM-1 chromosome 25, whole genome shotgun sequence
UCUUAAAAAUAAUUUCUAUUUGUAUUGUUAAAAACUGACAUGGUUGACGGAAUAACUAGACGAUGACAUGUCCCAUGCCAUGUGUACCUCAUGCUAAUGUACAAGGAUCAAUUUUUAACAGCAAAAGUAAAUGAAAUUUUUAAUA